UGCCAGCAGCCGCGGUAAUACGGAGGGGGCUAGCGUUGUUCGGAAUUACUGGGCGUAAAGCGCACGUAGGCGGUUAGGAAAGUCAGAGGUGAAAGCCCAGGGCUCAACCCUGGAAUAGCCUUUGAAACUAUCUAACUAGAGUUCGGGAGAGGUGAGUGGAAUUCCGAGUGUAGAGGUGAAAUUCGUAGAUAUUGGGUAGAACACCAGUGGCGAAGGCGGCCAUCUGGCACGAUACUGACGCUGAGGCGCGAAAGCGUGGGGAGCAGACAGGAUUAGAUA
rnacentral:rRNA from 1 species